AUGCUCACUUUGGCAGCACAUGUGCUAAAAUUAGAACGAUACAGAGAAGAUUAGCAUGGCCCCUAGUAAAAUAAAAUAAAUACUUAGUAAGUCUAAAAAUGA